rnacentral:rRNA from 1 species
AUUGAACGCUGGCGGCAGGCCUAACACAUGCAAGUCGAACGAGUGGCGGACGGGUGAGUAAUGUCUGUGAAACUGCCCGAUGGAGGGGGAUAACUACUGGAAACGGUAGCUAAUACCGCAUACCAUCGGAUUUGCCCAGAUGGGAUUAGCUAGUAGGUGGGGUAACGGCGCACCUUGGCGACGAUCCCUAGCUGGUCUGAGAGGAUGACCAGCCACACUGGAACGGAGACACGGUCCAGACGCAGACGGGAGGCAGAAGGGGGGAAUAUUGCACAAUGGGCGCAAGCCUGAUGCAGCCAUGCCGCGGGUAUGAAGAAGGCCUUCGGGUUGUAAAGUACGUUCAGCGAGGAGGCGUUACUCGAAGAAGAAGCACCGGCUAACUCCGUGCCAGCAGCCGCGGUAAUAC